AUGUCGGACGACGAGAAGGACAAGACCAAGCAGCUGGUGGAGUACUCCGGUGCAGCUAAAGUAAUUGCUGCUCCGGCGAGUUCGUCGUAUCCACGGUUUGAUCGCGAGAACUUCGGGGUCUGGAAGGCCCUCAUGGAGUGUGGUCUCCGCGCCAACGAGCUAUGGGACGCGGUGGAUCCCGGAGGCGACGCGUUCAAGAAGGAGGGAACCGAGCACCGGAAGGAUCGGCAGGCGGCGUCAGCGAUUUACUCGGUGAUGCCGAUGGAUGUCCUCCAGCACCUAAUCGCCAAAGCAACGGCGAAGGAGGUGUGGGAUACGCUCAAGCUCAUGUUCGAGGGACACACCCGCGUCAAGCAAGCCAAUCUUCAAACUCUCCUAAGGAACUACGAGACUUUGGUCAUGGGCGAUGAUGAGUCCGUGGAUGUGUUCGCUUCACGGGUGUCUACUCUCGUCAAUCGGAUUCGCGCGCUUGGAGAGAACCUCACGGAGACCUCGGUUGUCCGGCGGUUCUUGCGCGCAGCCCCUCCCCGGUACCUGCAAAUUGUCACGGCGAUCGAGCAGUGCGUCGAUCUCGCGACUCUCUCCAUCGACGAUCUUGUCGGACGGUACAAGGCUCACGAUGAGCGUAUGCGGUACAGUCUUGGGGACGGGAAGAACGACGAGCUUGUGAUGCUCACAAAGGCGCAGUGGAUCGCCCUGGAAAAGCGAGGCAGAUCCAUAAGCAGUAGCAAGAAGAAGGGGAAGCAGCGUUCGUCGAGAAAGAAAUUCGCCAACUCGGAUGACGACUCAGAGGAUGAGGCUGCACCACCGCCAAGGAGAAAGUUUGACAUCAGGAAAGUGAGGUGUUAUAACUGUGGCCUCCUUGGUCACUUCAAGGCUGACUGCGAGGAAGCACCGAAGCAGAAGGCGCUCAUUGCCCAGCAAGGAGAUGAUGGUGACAUGAUGUUGAUGUGUAAGCUGGUGGACGAGGAGGAUCCAGACUCUCAAGCAUUGACUAAAAAUUUUGUCGAGCUUGCGGAAGAAAAGGUUUGCCAUCAUGAUCAUGAUUCGGAAACCUGUGUCGAAGUUACAGAUGCAUGGGAUGAUUCCGAAAUUUAUGUCGAUGUUACAGGCAUAAGUGCCAACUUUGCUGGAGAGGAUGCAGCAAUAGCUGCGUGUGCUCGACCAUGGAGAAAUAAUCUUUGUGAUGUUCAGAGGUCCGUAGGUGGCCACAAAAAUAGCACUGGACAUGGUGUCUCGCUGAGUAGGCCGAAAGCACCGGCCGCAGGCACCAAAGCUGGAUCCCUUGUGCGGAGUAAGGGCGCCUCGCACCCAGCAGCGAGUGCUGCACAAGGAGCCUCCAAGACAGCUACGUGUGGUGGCCUAGCCACAAGAGAAGGCUCGCAUGGUGGGCUACAAACAAGUCCAGCAGGAGGGCUUGGUGGCUCACGUGGUGAGCUAGGGCCAUCUAUACCUAGUGACGUUGCAAGUGAUCCAGGAGAUAUGCAAGGUCCAUUACCAGCGCAUGUACGUAUAGUUUUGCCAUGCUUGGCCACUAUAAUACAAGAAGAUGGGAACGGCAAGGUAACGUCCGUACCCGGGGAUGAAAGUCUAGCUUUGCCAAAAGCAAUGUGCGAAGCAAACGGUGAGGAGUUACUCCUGAAGGUACAAGGAGCCAUGCAAAUAAUGUCGUCUCCGAAGGCACAAGAGACGAGGACAACGCCACCUACACCUGUUCUGCUACAACCGGUGUUACACCCAUAUUCGGAGAAGACUCUUCGGACGAUUGACCCGCCAAAAGUGAAAGGGAGUGGGCGACGGUGUCUAGCAAGCGCCGAGGAACUGGCGAAAUUUGAGGACGCAAAUACAGAUGAGUGUUGGCGUCAUGCUAUGAAAGAAGAGUUGGGGUCGAUCCACGACAAUAAUGCAUGGGUGCUUGUGGAUCUUCCCAACAAUGAAAAAGUCAUGGAUCUCAAGUGGGAAUUUACGAUCAAGAGAGAUGUCGAAGGUUCCGUGAAGCACAAAGCAAGGCUAGUGGCCAAAGAGUACAUGCAAGAGGAAAGUGUGGAUUUCGAAGAAGUGUUCGUUCCCAGUGCAAAGAUGGAGUCGGUGAGAUUACUCAUCGCUCUCGCGGCUCAGGAAUCAUGGAAAGUACAUCACAUGGAUGUAAACUCCGCGUUUUUGAAUGGCGAGAUAGAAGGAGAUGUGUAUGUGAAUCAACCACUGGGAUUCAUCAAAGAGGGAGAGGAACUCAAAGUACUGAAGCUACACAAUGUCUUGUACAUGCUACGGCAAGGCUCUCGGCCGUGUGACAUCAAACUUGAUCAUACAUUGAUUUCUCUUGGAUUUGAGAAAGCCCCACUAGAGCAUCCAAUGUACAAGAGAGGUGAAGGAAAGGAUCGUCUACUAGUUGGCAUCUACGUCGACGACCUGUUGAUAACUGGAGCAGAUGAAGAGGUGAUUGCAAAGUUUAAGCUACAAAUGAAGGAGCUUUUCAAGAUGGAUGAUCUAGGUUUAUUGAGUUGCAACCUUGGGAUUGAGGUACAUCAAAAGCCGAAGGGGAUCACACUAUGCCAGGAGGCAUAUGCAAGGAAGAUACUUGAAAGCCGUGGCAUGAAAGAUUGCAAUCACAUUGUCGCUUCAAUGGAACCUCGUCUUGAGAUGAGCAAGAAGGAGAUGGUGAAACUAAUUGGCUACAGUGGUAGUGGCAAGGAAGGAAUUGUUGGCGACCGUAAGUGUACCUUGGAUGUGGCAUAUUUCCUUGGUGAAAGCAUAGUAAGUUGGCUAUCACGAAAGCAGAAAGUGGUGGCAUCGACUUCAAGUGAAGCAGAGUGUCAAGGUGUGUGGCUAGGACGGCUACACAGUGAUCUCAUGGAUCGAGAUCCGGAGCAAGUGGUGCUCAACGUUGACAGUGAGUCUAUGUUUUUUCUACGCGAGGAUCCAGUGCGGCAUGACAGGAGCAGGCACAUUGAUACGAUGUAUCUUUACAUAAAGGAUUGCGUGGAAGAAGGGAUGACGAAGGUCAACUACGGUUGCACGGAUGAUCAGUUGGCGGACAUCCUAACCAAAGCUUGGGUCGGCGUCGAUCUGUGA
rnacentral:rRNA from 1 species